CAGUGAUCUGGCCCUUACGGGCAGGGUUAUAUAUGCAUGCUCGUUCAAAAGUUGUGCAUCUGUUGGUGGCUGCUAUCCUAUUUUCAGGGAGUUCCAGAAAGCUCUUUAGUUGUAUGUAUCUGAAAAAGUCAUGUGUGUUGUAUGGUGAGUGUUGUUGGGGAAGGUCUUUGUAUUGCAUUAGUUUUCCUCCCUCAAAGAAGUGGCAUAUUCUAUAAAGGUCGUUGUGUUCAUAGUGUGCAAAAUCUUUUGGGAUCAUUCCUGGGCUAAAUGCUUAAUUGCGCAGUAUGGGUGUCAGUGGUGAUGGGUUGUUGAUGAUAGGGAUUUUUUAGGUAAGCUUAUCCCAGGUGCUGAUAGAAUUAGCUAAUGUCGUGGGUAUGGGCGGUGGCAUGGGCCGGGAGUUCCGUGGGACCCAUAUGUACAAUGAGGGGA
rnacentral:lncRNA from 1 species